rnacentral:misc_RNA from 1 species
GCUUCCUCUAAUAACCUCUUAUCUUCUUCUCAAAUCCAUCGUCAUCGACCCAAGGAUUUCACCCCUCAAUUCUCUUUUCCUCCUCUCGAUUCCUUCUCUAAUUCUUCUCCUAUUCGCCUCGAAACUCGAAUAGUUUUCUCCAAAAAAAGGGGCAUUUUUUGUGCUUCCACUAAUAAUGCAAAUGCUGCAAGCUCAAUUCCUUUGAAAUCUGAACAGGAUGAUUAUGUUCCCAUGCCAGUAGUUCUGAUAGACCAAGAUUCUGACUCUGAAGCAACGAUUGUACAAAUCAGCUUUGGAGAUCGUCUUGGAGCUCUCAUUGAUACGAUGAAGGCCUUGAAAGAUUUGGGAUUGGAUGUAGCAAAAGGAUCUGUUCUCACUGAAGGAUCUGUUAAGCAAACAAAAGUCUUUAUUACUCGUUUAGACAAUGGGCGAAAAGUUGAAGAUCCUGAUAUGUUAGAGAGAAU